UCUGGGGUACCUGGCUAGUUCAGUGGGUAUAGCAUACGACUUUUGAUCUCAGAGUUGUGAGUUCAAGCCCCAUGUUGGGUAUGGAGCCCAUUUUUAA